CUAUGACAACCUGCGGAAGGAUCAUUGUCGUGACCCUGACCAAAACAGACCGUGAACGUGUCAUCCAUCCUGCCGGGUGACGGGGCUUGCCUCGACUCCCGGCUUAGGCCCCAGACUUCCGUAUGGAGGGCGGGAGCCGCAAAAGAACCCACGGCGCCAUCUGCGUCAAGGAACACUAAUAUUGCCUUGCUCAAGGAUUGUGACCGGCUUGCCGGAAACAUCUUGAGCAGCGAUACCUAUCGUAAUCCACACGACUCUCGGCAACGGAUAUCUCGGCUCUCGCAUCGAUGAAGAACGUAGCAAAAUGCGAUACCUGGUGUGAAUUGCAGAAUCCCGCGAACCAUCGAGUUUUUGAACGCAAGUUGCGCCCGAGGCCUUCUGGCCGAGGGCACGUCUGCCUGGGCGUCACGCCAAAAGACACUCCCCACCCAUCAUGGUGUGGACGUGGCAUUUGGCUCCCCGUGCCACAUGGUGCGGUGGGCCGAAGUUGGGGCUGCCGGUUUACGAUACCGGUCACAGCACAAGGUGGGUGACACAUAGUGUUCUCGCUGCUGUGGCCUGGAUCAUUGCUAUGGCAUGAAAUGGCCCUCAUGACCCAUCAACCGAUGCGCAUGUCGCUCGGACCGCGACCCCAGGUCAGGCGGGACUACCCGCUGAGUUUAAGCAUAUAAAUAAGCGGAGGAGAAGAAACUUACAAGGAUUCCCCUAGUAACGGCGAGCGAACCGGGGAAUUCUAACUGGCG
rnacentral:rRNA from 1 species